CGAAUAGAAAUUGGAAAUGGGGCGUGGCCGAGCGGUAAGGCAACGGGUUUUGGUCCCGCUAUUCGGAGGUUC
rnacentral:tRNA from 1 species